AAAGAGUGGCGAACGGGUGAGUAACACGUGGGUAACCUACCUCUUAGCAGGGGAUAACAUUUGGAAACAAGUGCUAAUACCGUAUAAUACCAACAACCGCAUGGUUGUUGGUUGAAAGAUGGUUCUGCUAUCACUAAGAGAUGGACCCGCGGUGCAUUAGCUAGUUGGUAAGGUAAUGGCUUACCAAGGCAAUGAUGCAUAGCCGAGUUGAGAGACUGAUCGGCCACAAUGGGACUGAGACACGGCCCAUACUCCUACGGGAGGCAGCAGUAGGGAAUCUUCCACAAUGGGCGCAAGCCUGAUGGAGCAACGCCGCGUGUGUGAUGAAGGGUUUCGGCUCGUAAAACACUGUUAUAAGAGAAGAACGGCACUGAGAGUAACUGUUCAGUGUGUGACGGUAUCUUACCAGAAAGGAACGGCUAAAUACGUGCCAGCAGCCGCGGUAAUACGUAUGUUCCAAGCGUUAUCCGGAUUUAUUGGGCGUAAAGCGAGCGCAGACGGUUAUUUAAGUCUGAAGUGAAAGCCCUCAGCUCAACUGAGGAAUUGCUUUGGAAACUGGAUGACUUGAGUGCAGUAGAGGAAAGUGGAACUCCAUGUGUAGCGGUGAAAUGCGUAGAUAUAUGGAAGAACACCAGUGGCGAAGGCGGCUUUCUGGACUGUAA
rnacentral:rRNA from 1 species